rnacentral:rRNA from 1 species
AAAUGAAUUGACGGGGGCCCGCACAAGCAGUGGAGUAUGUGGUUUAAUUCGAAGCAACGCGAAGAACCUUACCAGGUCUUGACAUCCUACUAACGAAGCAGAAAUGCAUUAGGUGCCCUUCGGGGAAAGUAGAGACAGGUGGUGCAUGGUUGUCGUCAGCUCGUGUCGUGAGAUGUUGGGUUAAGUCCCGCAACGAGCGCAACCCUUAUGGUUAGUUGCUACGCGAGAGCACUCUAGCCAGACUGCCGUUGACAAAACGGAGGAAGGUGGGGACGACGUCAAAUCAUCAUGCCCUUUAUGAUCUGGGCUACACACGUACUACAAUGGCGGUCAUACAAAGCGAGGCAAAGCAGUGAUGCGGAGCAAAUCGCAAAAAGCCGUCUCAGUUCGGAUCGCAGGCUGCAACCCGCCUGCGUGAAGUCGGAAUUGCUAGUAAUCGCGGAUCAGCAUGCCGCGGUGAAUACGUUCCCGGGCCUUGCACACACCGCCCGU